AUUGAACGCUGGCGGCAGGCUUAACACAUGCAAGUCGAGCGGAGAUGAGGUGCUUGCACCUUAUCUUAGCGGCGGACGGGUGAGUAGUGCUUAGGAAUCUGCCUAUUAGUGGGGGACAACAUUCCGAAAGGAAUGCUAAUACCGCAUACGUCCUGCGGGAGAAAGCAGGGGAUCUUCGGACCUUGCGCUAAUAGAUGAGCCUAAGUCGGAUUAGCUAGUUGGUGGGGUAAAGGCCUACCAAGGCGACGAUCUGUAGCGGGUCUGAGAGGAUGAUCCGCCACACUGGGACUGAGACACGGCCCAGACCCCUACGGGAGGCAGCAGUGGGGAAUAUUGGACAAUGGGCGGAAGCCUGAUCCAGCCAUGCCGCGUGUGUGAAGAAGGCCUUUUGGUUGUAAAGCACUUUAAGCGAGGAGGAGGCUACCUAGAUUAAUACUCUGGGAUAGUGGACGUUACUCGCAGAAUAAGCACCGGCUAACUCUGUGCCAGCCGCCGCAGUAAGAC
rnacentral:rRNA from 1 species